rnacentral:rRNA from 1 species
GACGAACGCUGGCGGCGUGCCUAAUACAUGCAAGUAGAACGCUGAAGAGAGGAGCUUGCUCUUCUUGGAUGAGUUGCGAACGGGUGAGUAACGCGUAGGUAACCUGCCUUGUAGCGGGGGAUAACUAUUGGAAACGAUAGCUAAUACCGCAUAACAAUGGAUGACACAUGUCAUUUAUUUGAAGGGGGCAAUUGCUCCACUACAAGAUGGACCUGCGUUGUAUUAGCUAGUAGGUGAGGUAAUGGCUCACCUAGGCGACGAUACAUAGCCGACCUGAGAGGGUGAUCGGCCACACUGGGACUGAGACACGGCCCAGACUCCUACGGGAGGCAGCAGUAGGGAAUCUUCGGCAAUGGGGGCAACCCUGACCGAGCAACGCCGCGUGAGUGAAGAAGGUUUUCGGAUCGUAAAGUUCUGUUGUAAGUCAAGAACGGGUGUGAGAGUGGAAAGUUCACACUGUGACGGUAGCUUACCAGAAAGGGACGGCUAACUACGUG